rnacentral:rRNA from 1 species
AUUGAACGCUGGCGGCAGGCCUAACACAUGCAAGUCGAGCGGAUGAAGGGAGCUUGCUCCUGGAUUCAGCGGCGGACGGGUGAGUAAUGCCUAGGAAUCUGCCUGGUAGUGGGGGAUAACGUCCGGAAACGGGCGCUAAUACCGCACACGUCCUGAGGGAGAAAGUGGGGGAUCUUCGGACCUCACGCUAUCAGAUGAGCCUAGGUCGGAUUAGCUAGUUGGUGGGGUAAAGGCCUACCAAGGCGACGAUCCGUAACUGGUCUGAGAGGAUGAUCAGUCACACUGGAACUGAGACACGGUCCAGACUCCUAUGGGAGGCAGCAGUGGGGAAUAUUGGACAAUGGGCGAAAGCCUGAUCCAGCCAUGCCGCGUGUGUGAAGAAGGUCUUCGGAUUGUAAAGCACUUUAAGUUGGGAGGAAGGGCAGUAAGUUAAUACCUUGCUGUUUUGACGUUACCAACAGAAUAAGCACCGGCUAACUUCGUG